GUGCCAGAGGCAGCGGGACCAGGGGGUGUACAGAGCUGAGUCUUGAAAGUUCAUGGGACCAUUUCUUCCAGCACAUGGCAUGGAGAUUCACUACCUUGAUUUGGACAGACUUUCUGGUGUGAUAUCUGAUGUUCUUUUCACCUCUCAUUGUGGUGACCAAGAUGGCGCUUUAGAAUGGGAAUUAAAUGCUAUCUUAGACUCCUUCCCAAAAGGAGGCAUCUUGAAGCGAAUAGGUGCCUGUCACUGUAAGGAGUUAAGGCACGCUGGAAGAAACAGAGUAACGGCUUAAAGGAUGGCAUAUUUAAAAUUUAAAAUUAAAUGUUUUAAAAUUG
rnacentral:lncRNA from 1 species